rnacentral:rRNA from 1 species
CCUACGGGCGGCAGCAGUGGGGAAUAUUGGGCAAUGGGCGCAAGCCUGACCCAGCAACGCCGCGUGAAGGAAGAAGGCUUUCGGGUUGUAAACUUCUUUUCUGAGGGACGAAGAAAGUGACGGUACCGCAGGAAUAAGCCACGGCUAACUACGUGCCAGCAGCCGCGGUAAUACGUAGUUGGCAAGCGUUAUCCGGAUUUAUUGGGUGUAAAGGGCGGGUAGGCGGGAAAGCAAGUCAGAUGUGAAAACUCAGGGCUCAACCCUGAGCCUGCAUUUGAAACUGUUUUUCUUGAGUGCUGGAGAGGCAAUCGGAAUUCCGUGUGUAGCGGUGAAAUGCGUAGAUAUACGGAGGAACACCAGUGGCGAAGGCGGAUUGCUGGACAGUAACUGACGCUGAGGCGC